AAGGAUCACCAUGGACUACAGGAACCUAUGCACUCCCGCAGGUAACUUUCGGAACGGCCUUCUGAAACCUCCAUCAGUGUUGUACACACCGUCAGCUGGCAAGAGAAAGGAAAUUCAUUUUAGCCCUCCUAAGGGGAAAGUGAGGCAGGAAGCAGCAACCUUGAGUAAAUCACUUCAUCCAGCUGGACAGCAACAGAGCAAGGAACAGAAGGCAGAAAUAUCAAAGUUCCUAGUGGACUAUUAUCAAAGCUCAACCAAAAAGUAUUUACACAGGACAAAAGCCAUUGCUCUCAUAAGAUUCACAAUAAAAGUGGUUAAGAACAGACUUUACCUGAUUUGUCUUCUGCUACUAUUGAAGUGCAUACUGUAAAGAUUUCAUAGAAGAUAUUAAACAGAACAAUU